AUUGAACGCUGGCGGCAGGCUUAACACAUGCAAGUCGAGCGGAGAGAGGUAGCUUGCUACUGAUCUUAGCGGCGGACGGGUGGGUAAUGCUUAGGAAUCUGCCUAUUAGUGGGGGACAACAUUUCGAAAGGAAUGCUAAUACCGCAUACGUCCUACGGGAGAAAGCAGGGGAUCUUCGGACCUCGCGCUAAUAGAUGAGCCUAAGUCGGAUUAGCUAGUGGGUGGGGAAAAGGCCUACCAAGGCGACGAUCUGUAGCGGGUCUGAGAGGAUGAUCCGCCACACUGGGAAUGAGACACGGCCCAGACUCCUACGGGAGACAGCAGUGGGGAAUAUUGGACAAUGGGCGGAAGCCUGAUCCAGCCAUGCCGCGUGUGUGAAGAAGGCCUUAUGGUUGUAAAGCACUUUAAGCGAGGAGGAGGCUACUUUAGUUAAUACCUAGAGAUAGUGGACGUUACUCGCAGAAUAAGCACCGGCUAACUCUGUGCCAGCCGCCGCAGCAA
rnacentral:rRNA from 1 species